GCUAGGAUGAACGCUGGCGGCGUGCCUAACACAUGCAAGUCGAGCGGAGAUGUUGAGAGAUUCUCGGAUGAUCUCUUCAUCUUAGCGGCGGAUGGGUGAGUAACACGUGGGUAACCUGCCCUGCACAGGGGGAUAACAGCUGGAAACGGCUGUUAAUACCGCAUAUGCACACGCUGCCGCAUGGCAGAGGGUGGAAAGAUUUAUCGGUGCAGGAUGGGCCCGCGUCGGAUUAACUAGUUGGCAGGGUAACGGCCUACCAAGGUUAUGAUCCGUAGCCGACCUGAGAGGGUGACCGGCCACAUUGGGACUGAGACACGGCCCAAACUCCUACGGGAGGCAGCAGUGGGGGAUAUUGCACAAUGGGCGGAAGCCUGAUGCAGCGACGCCGCGUGAAGGAAGAAGUAUUUCGGUAUGUAAACUUCUAUCAGCGGGGAAGAAGAUGACGGUACCCGACUAAGAAGCCCCGGCUAACUACGUGCCAGCCGCCGC
rnacentral:rRNA from 1 species